GUGUGUGUGUGUGUGUGUGUGUGUGUGUGUUUCUGACUUGCUGGCAGUUUUGCUCAAGAAUACAUUGUUGGUGACCCCUGACUACAAAAGGCUGUUGUGUAGUACAUGCCCCAUAAUGGAUUUAUAUGAAUCACGUAAUUUGAGAACUCAAUUUUUAAAAUGUGUGCAGAUUAAUUAGUUUAAUCUGUACACAGUAUCACAGAAUCAUUACAUUAAACAAGCAAGAUGUACUGUAAGGAUUCGAAGACUUCGGUUCUUUGAAGCACGCCCCAUUUAC